rnacentral:tRNA from 4 species
GGCCCCGUAGUUCAAUGGAUAGAAUAGAAGUUUCCUAAACUUUAGAUGCAAGUUCGAUUCUUGCCGGGGCUACUA